CCCACUUGAUUCAGGGUACAACCUUAACUAACGGGUAAUGUUUAAUUAACACCUUUAAGUAGGCCUAAUAGCAGCCACCUUUCAAAAAGCGUCAAAGCUUAACCCUGUUACCUCAAUUUAAAAACUUACACUGACCCCUUUAACUGUAUUGAGAGCUUCUAUAAUUUUAUAGAACCCUUAAUGCUAAAACUAAWAACAAGAGAAAACCCUCCCCCCAAUGCAAGUAUAAGCCAACAAGAACCCAUCGCUGGCAACUAACAUGCCCUUAUGAGUAGAAACUUUCACUARAAAACCCUACCCMCUUCCCCUGUUAACCUAACACCAGAGCAUUUCAAGAAAGAUUAAAAGGGAAAAAAGGAACUCGGCAAACUUUAACCCCGCC
rnacentral:rRNA from 1 species